ACUAUUUGAAUGUGUGUUGCUCCUUGUGGCAGGUAUACUGUUCCAAUGCCCUGGGAUCUCUGUAGUGGUCGGUACUGUAUUGAUUAUAAAUGGUGAAGUCCUAGUAUCUUGCUAGAGUGAGCUGGCCAGGAUGGUGGAGCUCUACCACCAUUUCACAGGUUAUAGACAGGGGCCACCAGGUUUCAGGAAAGCAGCAAUGACCCCUCAGUAAUAGUUGGAAAGUGUGAUAUGACACUGAGCUUCACUGUGUUGGUGAAGAAGAGCUGCAGUUUGCCUCCACCUCUGAAGAAGCACAAUACACCUUUCUGGGUUACCAAUGGGAUACUUCCCAACAGCUUUGUCAUCACAUACAAUAUUCUCAAACAAGAUCUUAAUGGCAUCUACUUUCUCCAGGAACACAGCCCCUGACCUGUGUGUGUUUGCGUAGAGAAGGCAUGCUAUGUACCCCCUAGGAUAUCAAGAUUCCUGUAGCAGAUUGAGCUCUGGCAGUUGAUCUCAGUGGCUUGAUAGAGUGUCAUUAUAAAAACGCACCUGGAAGAUUCUGUGGAAAAGACAACCUCAGAAGACCAAGAGGCUGACUUUGCAAGAGAGAGUCCGUUUACCACUUAGAACCGUGAACACCACCCCCGCCCUCAUUUAUCUCCAGACUUGAACUAGUGGUUAAAUCCCAACAUGUCCCAGAGAAGUCAAAAGCAUUGUAAAAUCUGGGAAUCUGCCCACCACUCAAGCCUGGGAAAGCUGGCAGAGGAUGCACGUGUUUUACUCACCUGAGUGUUUACAAUGCUCGUGAGGUGCCUCCCUGAUAGUACAGAGGAAUGAAGAAGGAAUAAACAGACCUUCUGGAUAAUUGCAUCAGCCUUCCCCACUAUUCCAAUGCCAUGCUAACAUUUCAAGUAAUGUCCCUUUUGUCUUGCUGAGAAAAAAUCAUUUCAUGAUUUAUUACACUGGAUUAAAGGCUAUGCACACUCUGGAGUUGGAACAUGACUGAAGGGCAAGCAAGCAUAAAGGAUAUCAGAAACAGUUGAUGUGUUUAAAUUUUUCUGAAUUUCUCAAGUAAACUUUUUAGAAAGUAGUCUGAAGAUAAAAUGGUUAUAUAAGUUACUUAAACUGUAGAUGAUGGCACCUUUAUCCCUAUAUAAUAAAAUUAAGGUAAGAAUUAGUUCUACAAAAAGCUUUCUCUUUUAGAGAUUUCUGUUUUAUCAGAUUACUGUUUGCCAAAGUGAAUUUCAUAAUAUGUGACUUUUUUUCAGUAUCAUUGAUUGUCAUUGAGCUUGAGAGCCUGAGUUUUUGCUGAAAUUGUUCCAAUGCACAGAAAAUGCCAUAAAAUUGAGCCUACCGUGGGUUUUUUUUUUUUUUUUUGGAUAUUACCUACACUUGUAGAAAAUCAAAGUUUAUUCUAGUCUUUGUAUGCUCUGCAUAUCUGAAAUACAAGAGGGGCUUCUGUCAGUCUGGAAGUGAUGAUAUUUGAUUUCUCAUUUCUUACUAUGGUCUCUCUCCAGAUAAGUAAGUUAGCUAAUUCAUCUACUUGAUCCUCAAUUAAUGGCCUUCUUGAUUAAAUAAGAAGAUGACAAGGUUUCUCCUUAAUAUGAAAUUUAAAUUACACAGAGCAAAAAAAAA
ensembl:lncRNA LINC00616 long intergenic non-protein coding RNA 616